rnacentral:rRNA from 1 species
GAUGAACGCUGGCGGCGUGCCUAAUACAUGCAAGUAGAACGCUGAAGCUUGGUGCUUGCACCGAGCGGAUGAGUUGCGAACGGGUGAGUAACGCGUAGGUAACCUGCCUGGUAGCGGGGGAUAACUACUGGAAACGAUAGCUAAUACCGCAUAAGAGAAGAUGUUGCAUGACACUUGCUUAAAAGGUGCAAUUGCUUCACUACCAGAUGGACCCGCGUUGUAUUAGCUAGUUGGUGAGGUAACGGCUCACCAAGGCAACGAUACAUAGCCGGCCUGAGAGGGUGAUCGGCCACACUGGGACUGGGACACGGCCCAAACUCCUACGGGAGGCAGCAGUAGGGAAUCUUCGGCAAUGGACGGAAGUCUGACCGAGCAAAGCCGCGUGAGUGAAGAAGGUUUUCGGAUCGUAAAGCUCUGUUGUAAGGGAAGAACGAAUGUGAGAGUGGAAAGUUCACACUGUGACGGUAUCUUAACAGAAAGCGACGGCUAACUACGUG